rnacentral:rRNA from 1 species
AUCAAAAACAUAGUUAGAUGAAUUAAUAUUUAAUGUUUUCUGCUCCAUGGUUUACUAAAUAGCCGCAGUACUCUGACUGUGCAAAGGUAGCAUAAUCAUUUGGCUUAUAAUUGAAGUCUGGUAUGAAUGGGAUAAUGGGGAGCUACUGUCUCUUAAAUUAACAUAAAAAUUGCUAAACAGGUGAAAAUACCUGUGUACCAAUAAAAGACGAGAAGACCCUAGAAAUUUUCUAAAAGGUGGUGCUUAACCAUAAUCAUUUUGUUGGGGCGACAGAAUAACAAUUAACUUAUUUUAUAGUAUCAGCACUUAAUGUUGUGAAAAAUAAAAUUACUCUAGGGAUAACAGCAUAAUAUAAAAAAGUUUGUGACCUCGAUGUUGGACUAGGGAACUAAAUAUCUAGAAGAUGUUAACGUUAGCUCUGUUCGAGCUCUACCCCCUACAUGAUCUGAGU